rnacentral:rRNA from 1 species
UACGUAGGGAGCAAGCGUUGUUCGGAUUUACUGGGCGUAAAGGGCGCGUAGGCGGCGCGGUAAGUCACUUGUGAAAUCUCUGAGCUUAACUCAGAACGGCCAAGUGAUACUGCAGUGCUAGAGUGCAGAAAGGGCAAUCGGAAUUCUUGGUGUAGCGGUGAAAUGCGUAGAGAUCAUGAGGAAGACCAGUGGCGAAGGCGGGUCUCUGGACAGUUCCUGACACUGAGACACGAAGGCCAGGGGAGCAAACGGG